rnacentral:rRNA from 1 species
UUCCGUAGGUGAACCUGCGGAAGGAUCAUUCGCACAUGUUCCAAUAACACUCUUGUGAAUUCUUCUGUGAGGCGUGUGUGGGGAUGUACAUUCGGCCCCCAUGCAGGUGCUCGCGGGUGGUGGGGUGUGCGGGAUGAAUAACAUACCCGCUCCUUCCCACUGCCACUGCAUAGCGCAAGUUAGCUUGAUGCAGCCUUCUGUUACUGGCAAUUGCCGUGUGCAGCUCACAACUCUCAGCGAUGGAUGUCUCGGUUCGAACAACGAUGAAGGGCGCAGCGAAGUGCGAUAAGCAUUGUGAAUUGCAGAAUUCCGUGAACCGACAGGGACUUGAACGCAUAUUGUGCUUUUGGGAUAUCCCUAAAAGCAUGCCUGCUUCAGUGUCUACUCUGUGUUGUUUCAGCGGCUGUCGCUUUACGUCUGGCAUGCCGCUGUGAGCGUUCGUGCCUCAAGAUGUGCUUGUCCUUUCUGGUGGCACUCCUGAUGCAUGCGAUUGACAAGGCUCCGUUGUGACGGUCAGCUUACUAAGGCAUCUGUAGCAUGCAGAUAGCUGCUCUCGUCGCGCCGUGGGCCCUGCCGUUACCUUUGGUCAGACCAAGAUUUAAGACAUGAAGUUAGGUUGGCAAACCCGCUGAAUUUAAGCAUAUCA